rnacentral:rRNA from 1 species
CCUACGGGAGGCAGCAGUGAGGAAUAUUGGUCAAUGGGCGUAAGCCUGAACCAGCCAAGUAGCGUGAAGGAUGAAUGUUCUAUGGAUUGUAAACCUCUUUUAUAAGGGAAUAAAGUGUGGGAUGUGUCCUGUUUUGUAUGUACCUUAUGAAUAAGGAUCGGCUAACUCCGUGCCAGCAGCCGCGGUAAUACGGAGGAUCCGAGCGUUAUCCGGAUUUAUUGGGUUUAAAGGGUGCGUAGGCGGGUUUUUAAGUCAGUUGUGAAAGUUUGGGGCUAAACCAUAGAAUUGCCGUUGAUACUGGGAGCCUUGAGUAUGUUAGAGGCAGGCGGAAUUCGUGGUGUAGCGGUGAAAUGCUUAGAUAUCACGAAGAACUCCGAUUGCGAAGGCAGCCUGCCAAGCUAUGACUGACGCUGAUGCACGAAAGCGUGGGGAUCAAACAGGAUUAGAUACCCUAGUAGUC